GUCUCGAUAGUGCAAUGGGCAGUGUGUCUGCCUAGUAAGCAGGAGGUCCAGGUUCAAACCCUGGUCGGGCACA